rnacentral:rRNA from 1 species
GACGAACGCUGGCGGCGUGCCUAAUACAUGCCAGUAGAACGCUGAAGGAGGAGCUUGCUUCUCUGGAUGAGUUGCGAACGGGUGAGUAACGCGUAGGUAACCUGCCUGGUAGCGGGGGAUAACUAUUGGAAACGAUAGCUAAUACCGCAUAAUAUUGACUAUUGCAUGAUAGUCAGUUGAAAGGUGCAACUGCACCACUACCAGAUGGACCUGCGUUGUAUUAGCUAGUUGGUGGGGUAACGGCUCACCAAGGCGACGAUACAUAGCCGACCUGAGAGGGUGAUCGGCCACACUGGGACUGAGACACGGCCCAGACUCCUACGGGAGGCAGCAGUAGGGAAUCUUCGGCAAUGGACGGAAGUCUGACCGAGCAACGCCGCGUGAGUGAAGAAGGUUUUCGGAUCGUAAAGCUCUGUUGUAAGAGAAGAACGAGUGUGAGAGUGGAAAGCUCACGCUGUGACGGUAUCUUACCAGAAAGGGACGGCUAACUACGUG